GAUUUUGGGGACCCCCUCCCCCUCUUAAGAUAUGGGGCUCCCUCAGGGUUUUGGGGACCCCUUCCCCUUAUGAUUCGGGGCUCCCUCAGGAUUUUGGGGACCCCCUCCCCUUAUGAUCGGGGCUCCCUCAGUCAGGAUUUUGGGGACCCCCCCCCUUAAGAUUUGGGGCUCCCCCAGUCAGGAUUUUAGGGACCCCCCCCCCUUUUUCUGACCUUUUGGCCAUGAGGGAAUACUCAGUCAGGAUUUUGGGGACCCCCCUCUAACCCCCCCUUAAUAUUUGGGGCUCCCUCAGUCAGGAUUUGGGGGACCCCCCCCUUAAGAUUUGGGGCUCCCCCAGUCAGGAUUUGGGGACCCCCCCCCCCUUUUAUGACCUCUUGGCCAUGAGGGAAUAGUCAGGAUUUUGGGGACCCCCCUCCAACCCCCCCUUAAGAUUUGGGGCUCCCCCAGUCAGGAUUUUGGAGACCCCCCCCCUUAAGAUUUGGGGCUCCCCCAGUCAGGAUUUUGGGGACCCCCCCCUUAAGAUUUGGGGCUCCCCCAGUCAGGAUUUUGGGGACCCCCCCCCCCCCCUUUUAUGACCUCUUGGCCAUGAGGGAAUAGUCAGGAUUUUGGGGACCCCCCUCCAACCCCCCCUUAAGAUUUGGGGCUCCCCCAGUCAGGAUUUUGGAGACCCCCCCCUUAAGAUUUGGGGCUCCCCAGUCAGGAUUUUGGGGACCCCUCCCCUUAAGAUUUGGGGCUCCCCCAGUCAGGAUUUUGGGGACCCCCCCCUUAAGAUUUGGGGUUCCCCCAGUCAGGAUUUUGGGGACCCUCCCUUAAGAUUUGGUUCCCUCCAGUCAGGAUUUGGGGACCCCCCCUUUUUCUGACCUCUUGGCCAUGAGGAAAUACUCAGGAUUUUGGGGACCCCCCCCCUUAAGAUUUGGGGCUCCCCCAGUCAGGAUUUUGGGGACCCCUCCCCUUAAGAUUUGGGGCUCCCCCAGUCAGGGUUUUUGGGGAUCCCCCCCCCCCCUUUUAGACUCUUGGCCAUGGGGAAUACCCAGUCAGGAUUUUGGGGACCCCCCCCUUCUCCCUAAGGAUUUGGGGCUCCCCAGGUCAGGAUUUUGGGGACCCCCCCCCCUUAAGAUUGGGGCUCCCCCAGUCAGGAUUUUGGGGACCCCCCCCCCUUUUCUGACCUCUUGGCCAUGGGGAAUACCCGUCAGGAUUUUGGGGACCCCCCUCCACCCCCCUUAAGAUUUGGGGCUCCCCCGUCAGGAUUUUGGGGACCCCCCCCUCCCC
rnacentral:lncRNA from 7 species